CAAUGGCGUAUAUUAAAGUUGUUGCAGUUAAAAAGCUCGUAGUUGGAUUUCUGGCAGGAGCGACCGGUCGGCCCAAGUGGUGUGUACUAGUGUUGCAUCUGGCCAUAUUUGCGGAGAGCGUGUGUGGCAUUAAUUUGUCGUGCACGGGACCCGCAUCGUUUACUGUGAGAAAAUUAGAGUGUUCAAAGCAGGCGUUUGCUUGAAUAUAUUAGCAUGGAAUAAUGGAAUAGGACGCUGGUUCUAUUUUGUUGGUUUUGAGAACCAGAGUAAUGAUUAAUAGGGACAGUGGGGGCAUUCAUAUUUCAUUGUCAGAGGUGAAAUUCUUGGAUUUAUGAAAGAUGAACUUCUGCGAAAGCAUUUGCCAAGGAUGUUUUCAUUAAUCAAGAACGAAAGUUAGGGGAUCGAAGACGAUCAGAU
rnacentral:rRNA from 1 species